rnacentral:sRNA from 1 species
AAGAGCAGCCAACAUGGCGGCGGAACGCGGCGCGGGGCAGCAACAGUCGCAGGAGAUGAUGGAGGUUGACAGGCGGGUCGAGUCUGAAGAAUCCGGCGAUGAAGAAGGGAAGAAACACAGCAGCGGCAUCGUGGCCGACCUCAGUGAACAGAGCCUGAAGGAUGGGGAGGAGCGGGGGGAGGAGGACCCAGAAGAAGAACAUGAGCUGCCUGUGGACAUGGAAACCAUCAACCUGGACAGAGAUGCAGAGGAUGUUGAUUUGAAUCACUAUCGCAUAGGGAAGAUUGAAGGAUUUGAGGUACUGAAGAAAGUGAAGGUGAGAGGGACUCUCAUGAGGGGACUAUGACGCUCACCCAUAGGAUGUGGAUAAGUCCAGAAUCCAGCAAUCAGUCCUGAGUUGUGGUCCUUGUCCCAGCCUGUGGGCGGCGUGGCUGCCUCCACCUUGUAGCAGGCCUUUCUUUACUGGGAGCACAGCAGGUGUGAGACAGCAGUGGAGGGACUUGAGGCACAGCCCUGGGGCUGGCUCUCCUGAGCCCAGGCAGCCAGUGACCUGUGACUCUG